AGCGAACGCUGGCGGCAGGCCUAACACAUGCAAGUCGAACGAAGUCUUCGGACUUAGUGGCGGACGGGUGAGUAACACGUGGGAACGUGCCUUUAGGUUCGGAAUAACUCAGGGAAACUUGUGCUAAUACCGAAUGUGCCCUUCGGGGGAAAGAUUUAUCGCCUUUAGAGCGGCCCGCGUCUGAUUAGCUAGUUGGUGAGGUAAAGGCUCACCAAGGCGACGAUCAGUAGCUGGUCUGAGAGGGUGAUCAGCCACAUUGGGACUGAGACACGGCCCAAACUCCUACGGGAGGCCGCAGUGGGGAAUCUUGCGCAAUGGGCGAAGGCCGAACGCAGCCAUGCCGCGUGAAUGAUGAAGGUCUUAGGAUUGUAAAAUUCUUUCACCGGGGACGAUAAUGACGGUACCCGGAGAAGAAGCCCCGGCUAACUUCGUGCCAGCCGCCGCCGUAACAC
rnacentral:rRNA from 1 species